AGUGGCGGACGGGCGAGUAACGCGUGAGCAACCUGCCCUUCAGAGGGGGACAACAGUUGGAAACGACUGCUAAUACCGCAUAACGUAUCGGGAUGGCAUCAUCCUGAUAACCAAAGGAGCAAUCCGCUGAAGGAGUGGGCUCGCGUCCGAUUAGGUAGUUGGUGAGGUAACGGCCCACCAAGCCGACGAUCGGUAGCCGAACUGAGAGGUUGAUCGGCCGCAGUUGGACUGAGACACGGCCCAGACUCCGUACGGGAGGCAGCAGGUGGGGGAUAUUGCACAAUGGGGGAAACCCUGAAUGCAGCAACGCCGCGUGAGGGAAGACGGUCUUCGGAUUGUAAACCUAAGUUGUCAGGGACGAUAAUGACGGUACCUGAAGAGAAAGCUCCGGCUAACUACGUGCCAGCCGCCGC
rnacentral:rRNA from 1 species